rnacentral:rRNA from 1 species
UACGUAGGGGGCAAGCGUUGUCCGGAUUUAUUGGGCGUAAAGAGCGUGUAGGCGGUUCGGUAGGUCCGUUGUGAAAACUCGAGGCUCAACCUCGAGACGCCGAUGGAAACCCUCGAACUAGAGUCCGGAAGAGGAGAAUGGAAUUCCUGGUGUAGCGGUGAAAUGCGCAGAUAUCAGGAAGAACACCCGUGGCUAAGGCGGCUCUCUAGUACGGUACUGACGCUGAGACGCGAAAGCGUGGGGAGCAAACGGG